AGCUCCCAGCCUAUCUGCGCGAGCUUCUGUGUCCUAAAUAACUUGGGAGUUACCAGUCUUCUUUAAGGAUCUGGUGUUCUAAAAGGUUUCUAAAGAAUUUUAUGAGGUUUUUAUUACUUAAUUGACAAGAAUUUAUUAGCUAGAGUGGCAAGUAAAUAAGGACGUCUUAAAAACAAAAAGUUGUUUUACUUCCCAUUUCACUUUCUCUCUCUCUAGCUGUUUUCCUUCACUAAUAUUUCCAAAACACACAACAACAGUUGGCAUCGCUCGCAUAUAAACAGCUCUUCCAUGUCACUGAGAAAACGAGCAAGAUCCAGGGAGGAAAAAUGGAUACAGGAUAUAAAUAGAAAAUCCUCAAAACAGGAAUUUCAAAAUGUCAACAAACAGGCAAAACUUUCUUUCAACAGCGCUAUUAUGACUGGUAUGUUUCACUUGCUUUUUUUUUUUUUUUCUUUUUCUCCAGCAAAUUGCUCAAAUGUCGGUGUGCUCUCAUGAACAGAAACGAUGGCACGGUGGGUCCUGGUCUCAAGACUUCCUCUCAAUGAUUCAGAGGUCUUGGGGGUUUUUUGUCUGAAUAUCAGGCAAAGAGGAAGGACGGCUACAAUGGAGGAGUCUCCUACCACGCUUGUGGUCGUCACUGUAGUGCUCAGUUGAAUGGUGUGUCCAUUGGGGUUGGAGUCCCCAUCCUGUUCUGGGUCCUGGCCCCCCACAGGCUCCAGGGACAUAACCCUUCCAGUUCAGGAUCAUGUGCUGGGGCACUGUUCCCUGAGGUGGGACUCUGGGCUGUAACAGCUGCUUUUGAAGCAUGUUCCAGCUUCAACCACGUGCUUGGACGACACCAGCUCUUCCCACAUACUCUUCCCCAGCUCUUGUGUUGAGUUUGGCUUCCACCUUCCUCCAGCUGGUUCUACUCCCGCGAGACCCUCAUGAAGUCCUGAGGUUGCCUCUCG
rnacentral:lncRNA from 10 species